UUCCGUUUGAUCCUGCCGGACCCGACUGCUAUCGGAGUGGGACUAAGCCAUGCGAGUNGCAGUGACGUGCCCGGGCUGGCGGGAUCGUGGCGUGACGGCUCAGUAACACGUGGCCAACCUACCCUGCGGACGGCUAUAACCCCGGGAAACUGGGGUUAAUAGCCGAUAGGGGAUAGGCGCUGGAAGGCCCUAUCCCCGAAAAGGCUACACACCCAUGCCGUGUGUAGCCGCCGCAGGAUGGGGCUGCGCCCUAUCAGGUAGUAGGUGGGGUAACGGCCCACCUAGCCUAUAACGGGUGCGGGCCCUGGGAGGGGGAGCCCGGAGAUGGGCACUGAGACAAAGGCCCAGGCCCUACGGGGCGCAGCAGGCGCGAAACCUCCGCUAUGCGCGAAAGCGCGACGGGGCCACUCCGAGUGCCGNCCGCUGAAGGCGGCUUUUGCCCAGUCCAAAAGGCUGGCGAAUAAGGGGAGGGCAAGAUUGGUGUCAGCCGCCGUGGUAAUACCAAC
rnacentral:rRNA from 1 species